rnacentral:rRNA from 1 species
UACGGGGGGGGCAAGCGUUGUUCGGAAUUACUGGGCGUAAAGCGCACGUAGGCGGCUCGCUCAGUCAGGGGUGAAAUCCCAGAGCUCAACUCUGGAACUGCCUUUGAUACUGUCGGUCUAGAGUAUGGAAGAGGUGAGUGGAAUUCCGAGUGUAGAGGUGAAAUUCGUAGAUAUUCGGAGGAACACCAGUGGCGAAGGCGGCGCACUGGUCCAUUACUGACGCUGAGGUGCGAAAGCGUGGGGAGCAAACAGG